GCCAGGCAUGGUGGCGCAUGCCUGUAGUCCCAGCUACUCGGGAGGCUGAGGCAGGAGAAUCGCUUGAACCUGGGAGGCAGAGGUUGCAGUGAGCCGAGAUCGUGCCACUGCACUCUAGCCUGGGUGACAGAGCAAGACUUUGUCUCAU
ensembl:misc_RNA Metazoa_SRP Metazoan signal recognition particle RNA